rnacentral:rRNA from 1 species
AUUGAACGCUGGCGGCAGGCCUAACACAUGCAAGUCGAGCGCGCGGCGGACGCGUGAGGAAUGUCUGGGAAACUGCCUGAUGGAGGGGGAUAUCUACUGGCAACGGUAGCUAUUAUCGCAUACCAUACGAUGUCCCCCGAUGGGAUUUGCUAGUGGGUGGGUUAACGGCUCACCUAGGCGACGAUCCCUAUCUGGUCUGAGAGGAUGACCAGACACACUGGAACUGAGACACGGUCCAGACUCCUACGGGAGGCAGCAGUGGGGAAUAUUGCACAAUGGGCGCAAGCCUGAUGCAGCCAUGCCGCGUGGAUGAAGAAGGCCUUCGGGUUGUAAAGCACUUUCAGCGGGGAGGCGUUACCCGCAGAAGAAGCACCGGCUAACGCCGUGCCAGCAGCCGCGGUAAUAC